rnacentral:rRNA from 1 species
GUGGGUAACCUACCUAUAAGACUGGGAUAACUCCGGGAAACCGGGGCUAAUACCGGAUAAUAUUUUGAACCGCAUGGUUCAAUAGUGAAAGACGGUUUCGGCUGUCACUUAUAGAUGGACCCGCGCCGUAUUAGCUAGUUGGUAAGGUAACGGCUUACCAAGGCGACGAUACGUAGCCGACCUGAGAGGGUGAUCGGCCACACUGGAACUGAGACACGGUCCAGACUCCUACGGGAGGCAGCAGUAGGGAAUCUUCCGCAAUGGGCGAAAGCCUGACGGAGCAACGCCGCGUGAGUGAUGAAGGUCUUCGGAUCGUAAAACUCUGUUGUUAGGGAAGAACAAAUUUGUUAGUAACUGAACAAGUCUUGACGGUACCUAACCAGAAAGCCACGGCUAACUACGUGCCAGCAGCCGCGGUAAUACGUAGGUGGCAAGCGUUAUCCGGAAUUAUUGGGCGUAAAGCGCGCGUAGGCGGUUUCUUAAGUCUGAUGUGAAAGCCCACGGCUCAACCGUGGAGGGUCAUUGGAAACUGGGAAACUUGAGUGCAGAAGAGGAGAGUGGAAUUCCAUGUGUAG